rnacentral:rRNA from 1 species
GACGAACGCUGGCGGCGUGCUUAACACAUGCCAGUCGAACGGAAAGGCCCUGCUUUUGUGGGGUUCUCGAGUGGCGAACGGGUGAGUAACACGUGAGUAACCUGCCCUUGACUUUGGUAUAACUUCAGGAAACUGGGGCUAAUACCGGAUAGGAGCUCCUGCUGCAUGGUGGGGGUUGGAAAGUUUCGGCGGUUGGGGAUGGACUCGCGGCUUAUCAGCUUGUUGGUGGGGUAGUGGCUUACCAAGGCUUUGACGGGUAGCCGGCCUGAGAGGGUGACCGGCCACAUUGGGACUGAGAUACGGCCCAGACUCCUACGGGAGGCAGCAGUGGGGAAUAUUGCACAAUGGGCGGAAGCCUGAUGCAGCAACGCCGCGUGCGGGAUGACGGCCUUCGGGUUGUAAACCGCUUUCGCCUGUGACGAAGCGUGAGUGACGGUAAUGGGUAAAGAAGCACCGGCUAACUACGUG